AUAGGGUUCGUGUUUGGGUUGAUACAUGUGGCAUUGUUACCAGGGUGCCUACCAUUGGUUAAUUCAUCCAUCGUCGUCACUUUCAAAUAUGUGAAGAAAAUCAUAUGAUAUAAUACUGAAAUAAUGAAUUGUAUUUCCGUGCAGUACGUAGUUCGUUUUCCUCUCAGUAUAUUCUCAAUUAAUCUAUAUAAAUAAAGAACACUCUUGCCUUUUCUUCUCUCCUGUAUAUUCUAUUUUCUGAUAAACUACAGAUCAACAGAUGUGAUUAAUUAGGGUUUUCUUUCAGUACACCAUACAUAAGCAUCUAUGCUUCUUUCGUACAAAGCAGAUAAACAUUGUCAAUUUAUUUUAAAGAGUAAAGUGACCAAACAUAGAUUAAUCUGGAGAACAAAACUAAAACGAUCACUUCAUGAUACCAAACUUUACCUUGUUUAACGGACUACAUGGUGCAAUACAGCAACUAAUUAACCACGCACAUACAGAAGAAACUUCAUAUUUUGCAACGAACUAUUGGUAGAGGUGAUCGAUUGACGUACGUACGUACCAUUAGUUCUUCUCUCUUUUGCAAAAUGAGUUUUGGCUUCGGACUUUCCUUGGUGUCAGUUAACUUCCCUAAACAAAAUGACUCAGGAUAUAGUUCCUUUGCACAAGUAAGAAACAGAUCGUUAAGAUACAAGCACUAUGUCUUCGAUUAUACAAGAUUGUAUGUAGUUCGCGAUUUCUUGGCAAAGGAACGUCCAACAGGCACUUUGGAUCAAUUGUGCCACCAUACCAUUCACUGAUUCUAGUUUGUUUCAUUAGUUGUCCAUACUUGGAAAUGCUAAGCAGCAAAAUUAUAUUGUUGUUAAUUGGUUUCUUUUACAUGUUGUUCAUGUUUCAGUUUGCAGAAAUUUUAAAGAACUCUCUUGAAUUUUACUUGAUGUGGAGAGAAUUCCUUACUGUUAAGGCCGGCCUAAUUGUCAACUAGAGGGUGUCCAUGCAAACCAUUACUAAUUAAGACCAAGGUUCUAAAAGGCGCCAUCUUGUCCCGCCUAGGCUAUAGGCGAGCUAAGCCACCUGGAUUUUCUCUAAAGUGUUCAAGUAAGGCGGUCAGCCGCCCAGGGACCGCCUAGGUGGUCAAGGCGCCGUCAAGGCAAAGCAAGCGCGUCCAAGGCGGUCUUGGGCUAGGCGCGACUAGGUGAAGUCGGCGCUUCUGAACAAAAAAAAGAUCCAAUAAAAACUAAAACUUGUGGACGCCCUUGAGCCUCGUCAUGCUUUGAUUCCCGAAGAUGCCUCGGUGUUGUCCACCAUCGGAGCCACGAUUAACUUGGGUUGGAUGAAGCAGAGGAUGUUGUCGAGGUAGUCGGGAAUGUUCGGUGGUUGAGUAGUGAGGCCAUUUGAGAUUUGGGUUUGAGGGUGAGGUUUUGCUAGAGGAUUGAGAAGUUUGAAUUCCAUGAGAGGACGAUUCUGGAAAUGCUCCUCUACUGUGUAUUGCAGAAUUGAAGCAGAGGAGAUCAUUUACCAGAUCUGGGUUUGUUUGAUUUUUUUUCUUUUUUGAAUUGAAGCAGACGAGAUCAUUUACCAGAUCUGGGUUCGUUUGAUUUUUUUUUUUCUUUUUCUGGGAAUGAAGAGGCAAGAAAGGGGAUAGAUGUUUAGUCGAAAAAAGAAUGAGAUAGAUGUGAAGAAGAAUUGGUAAGAAUGUUUUUGCUUACUUUCAUUGAUACAGUACAGCUAUAUAUACAAGAAUUAGGACCAUUUUAGAUCCUGAAGAUUAGCAAUCAUAUUAAGGAUUUGCUGUCAAUUUCUAUCCUACAAAUAUGCAUCAAUUACAUCUCUAUGAUUUUGCAUAUCCCCUUAGAUAGAAUGCGGCUAUUGAGACUUCCAAAUUUGCUCAGUAUACCUCUCAUGUUAUUUAUACCUCCUUUUUAAUUUUAACUACAAACAUUUGCUCAUUAGACCUCAUUUCAAAUUUCUAAAAUAACCUUAGGUAUGUUAUUCAUAUAUAUCUUGAUAAUUUACUCAUUAUACCUCUUAUUUAUUCUCUAGACCUCUCAUUCUUUUUAAUUUUUUUUUUCUUUUUGCAUGCUGUCAUCGAGACCUCUAUUCCUUUAUUUUUUUUUUUUCAUUCAAACCACUUUCACGACCUCAAUUCCUUGAUAUUUUUUUAUUUCCCAUAGAAUGUCACCAAACCUCCAUUAUUUGAUCAAUUUGUAAGAAAUUUUUUUCAAUGACGUCAAUUUUUCUCUUAAAAAUCAAAUAACACAAAGUAUUGGGUUUCAAAAACUUAUAUUUAUCAACCCAGUACCGUCUCUUCUUAUAACUGAGAGGUCAUGAGUUCGACUCACAGUCAGUGACGUAGCCAGAGUAGGACGAGGAGGUUCAUAUGACCCCUCUAAGUUUUUGACCAAACCAUGAUUGGUGGGUAUAAUUAGAGGUUGUGCAUGCAUAUAUUAUAUUUUGAUGUAAUUUUUGACCCUUGUAACUUAAGAGAAAAGAAAGUGUUUUAAAAUGUUUGGCUCAUUCACUAUGAAUAUGUGGAGGGGACUCAUUGAUUAUGUUUUUAUUACAUUUUUGUCAUUGCCUGAUUAAUCGAUGAAUGUUCUUUGUUAUAUUUUCGUCUUCUAGUUUAUAUAUGUUUUUCNNNNNNNNNNNNNNNNNNNNANAUAUAUAUAUAUAUAUAUAUAUAUAUAUAUAUAUAUAUAUAGUGAAAGAAUAUUUGAUAACGAAACCGGCCAUCAAAGAAAAAAAAUAUAACAUAUGAGGAAUUGUCAUGAACAGAUUUAGUUGUUUAGAGAAACUUGUCAUUUUUUCAUAUUGUAAUGAUUUAUGUUCUUAAACUAUCUAAAGCAUAAACAAAUUCAUGCAAGUUUUUUUAUUUAAUGAUAUUUUUGUUUAAUAUGAUCUUCGCUAUUUAUAUAUAUUCUGACCCUUCUAGUUGGUUUUUCUGGCUACGCCACUGCUCACAGUAGACUCGUUGUAGCAUAUUAGUUGUUUAUAUGAUAAAAAAAAAAUUAUAUUUACCAACAAGAAAAUAUUCUAUCAUAAAUUAGCUUUUUUAUUUCUAUUUUACUUGUGCUAAACAACGAUUAAGGAUAACAAUUGUAUACUAUAUAUGUUUUUUUUUCCCUCUAUAUAUUUUAUGUACAUCAUGAAAUUAUUUCAAUAGUUAUUUAAUUUUUCAUUAUCGAUAUCUUUUUGCAUAUAUAUUCUUUCACCUAUCUACUAUCAACAUGUAUGAUAGUAGAAAAUUUUAUGUCACACGGUCGAUAUUUAUCAUAGUUUUAGCUUUAAUUAAAUAUAUAAUAUGUAAUAAAAUUUAGAAAAUAGUAAAUUAGAAAUUAAAAAUAUACAAGGAAAAUAAGAAAGAAUACAAUCAAUUAAUUAUCAAAUUGGAAAGUCUAGAGAGAAUAAAUAUACUUCUUUUUGUAUGAUUAUUGUUCUUAAUAGUCAUUACGUAAGAGGAAAUAAUUGUCAUUCAAUAACUCAUAACAAAGGGAAGUCAAGUGAGCAAAUUUGGAGGUCUCAAUAGCCGCACUCCCUUAGAUAAAACUGAUUACUAAGAGAUACAAAUCAGUGAUUAUGCAGCAGAAAUUUAGCACAAGAUUAUUGCUUAUCACCCCCCCAACAAGCUAAUGGUCCGUGGGCGAACAGGAAGCUUGUCAAGAAGGUACUGAAAUCUGUUGGUGGAUAGACCUUUGGUGAAUAUAUCUGCCAGUUGAUCUUGAGAACAUAUAUAGCAAACUUGAAUUUCCUUACGCACCACAUUUUCUCUUAUAUAAUGAUAGCUAGUCAACCUCCACAUGACAUGUGCGGGUAUGGAAGACUGGAUUGGAAGCUAAAGAAAUAGCACUGAUGUUAUCACACCAUAAUUUAGGAGGUUGAAGUGGAAUUCGUAAGGCACGAAAUAGGAUGCGAAACCAAGAGAGAUGAGCAGCUGUGUAGGCCAGUUGGCGAUAAUCUACCUCCGUGUUUGAGCGGGAAACACCUGCUUGCUUUAAUUUUAGAGCUCCAGGAAAUCAGAUUUUUUCCUAAAUAAAUACAUGUACAUGCCACCAGUUGAAAUUCUAGUGUUUGGAUCCCCAGCAUAAUCAAAAUCACUAUAGCCAGUGAUAUGCAAAGAGCUUGGGGUGUAAAAUAAGCCAUAGGUAGGAGUGUGUUUUAGGUAACGGAGAAUCCCAGCAACCCAAUGGAUAGUAGUUGGAGAAUGAAGAAACUGGCAAACCUGAUUAACAGCAUAAGAGAUAUCAGGUCGAGUGAUGGUUAAAUACUGCAAGGCUCCUACCACGCUGCGAUACUCAGUGCCAUCUGGAAGAGGAGUUCUGUCAGUGAUGCUAAGACGCUUGUUACUUGUUGGGGUAGAAGCAGGUCGUACAUUAGUUAUAUUGGUACGAUGGAGAAGAUCUAGGUGUACUUUGUUUGUGUGAGAGCAAGGCCACUAGAGGAGCGCACUGCUUCAAUUCCCAUGAAAUAGUGCAAAAGGCCCAAGUCCUUCAUUGAGAAUAGUUUACCCAAAUUGGCAAUGAUAUUGUUGAUGUGAGCAAGAUGAGUACCAGUAUUGAGGAUAUCAUCUACAUAUAUAUAUCAGAAGAUAAAGCUUGAUGGAGCCUGAGUGAUAAGUGAAAAGAGAGGAAUCGGCAUGAGAGGCAGUGAACCCCAAUUCUUCCAAAUAGGCAGAGAAACAAGAGAACCAAGCACGAGGGGCUUGUUUGAGGCCAUACAAGCUGCGUCGUAGUUUGCAAACAUGUUUGGGAUACUGGGAAUCAAUAAAACCUUGCGGUUGCUGCAUAUAGGCAUCUUCUGACAAAUAUCCAUGUAAGAAGGCAUUUUGCACAUCCAAUUGUCUUAUAGUCCAACCAAAGGAGACAACAAUAGCUAAAAUUAAUCUAAUGGAAAAAUGUUUGAUUACCGGACUGAAUGUUUCACCAUAGUCAAUACCUUCUUGCUGCUGAAAGCCCUUGGCAACCAGCCGGGCUUUGUAUCGCUCCACCGAGCCGUCAGGCUUCCUCUUUAUGCGAUAAACCCAUUUAUUGGGAAGAAUGUUCAUUGAACUGGAAGAUGGUACAAGUUCCCAUGUACUUGCUUGAAUCAAAGCAUUAAAUUCUGCACUCAUUGUCGAGCGCCAUUCUUCCUGCUUCACUGCUUGAUUGAAACAUGUGGGUUCAAUUUGGUGAGUAAGAAAGGUGACUACCAUAGCAUACUUCGGAUUGGGUUUCUGAAUCCCUCGCUGGCUACGGGUUACAGGUGCAGAUGGCUCCAAGGAGGAUGAUUGAGGAUUGGAGGUAAAAUGUUGUAUCUCUGGUGGCGGAAGAGAAAGUUGAGAGAUAGGGUUGACAGGUGCCGAUGUGGUUGAUACAUGCCGGCGGCGAUAGGUUUGAAUAGGUGGAGCAGUGGGUUGGGUGGAGAGUGUAUUUUGGUUAUGUGAGGAAUUGGGAGCAAUAAUCUCGGUGGUGAGGGGAUUGAAAUGGUUUGCUGUUGAUGGGCUUAAGGUUUGGGCUUGUGAUGGAGGAAAUUGGGUGAUUGUGGUAGUAGUUACUAUGAGAGGAUUUGGAUCAUGCCUGGUAGCUGUCGUUGGAGAGGAAGUGCUAGUGGAUUCUUUGAAGGAAAAAGAGGACUCAUCAAAGAUUACAUGACGGGAGAGAUAAACAAGACCAGAAGACAAGUCUAAGCAACGAUAUCCUUUGUGAUGUAAGGAAUAACCGAGAAAAACACACUUUGUAGAGCGAAAAUCCAAUUUGUUCUUGUUAUAAGGACGAAGAUAAGGAUAGCAAGAGCAGCCAAAUGUACAAAGAGAAGAGUAAGUGGGUGUACUUUGAAAUAAUUUUUCAUAUGGAGAAAGAAAAUUUAAGACACGAGUUGGAAGUCUAUUUAUGAGAUAAAGAGCAGUGUUAAGGGCCUCAACCCAAUAUGUUUUGGGAACUGAAGCGUGAGCAAGAAGAGUAAGAGCAGUUUCAACAAGAUGACGAUGCUUUCGUUUGGCUAAACCAUUUUGUUUUGGAUGAUGGGGGCACGAGAUUCGAUGGUGAAUACCUUUUUGAAGGAAGAAAUUCUUGAAUGCAUUACUUGUGUAUUCACCACCACCAUUAGAUUAAAAUUGUUUGAUUGUUGUAGAAAACUGAUUUUGAAUGUAGGUGAAGAAAGCAGUGAAAAUAGAGAGAACUUCAGAUUUAUAUUUAAUGGGAAAAAGCCAUGUAUAACCGGAGAAAUAAUCAAUAAAGACAACAUAAUAUUUAAAGCCUUGUAUUGAUAGAUGAGGAAAGGUCCAUACAUCACUAUGAAUUAAAUCAAAUGCAGACAAGGAAACAGAUUCGGACAAGGAAAAAGGUAAUUUUGUGGGUUUUCCAAGGGACAUGAGUGACACAUCGAUGGGAGUUUAUUUUCUAACAACAAUAACCUAGAGGAAAGAUGACGAAAAAUAUUUGUUGAGGGAUGGCCAAGUCGUGAGUGCCAGAUAUUUGCAGCUACACGAGUGACUGAAAGAGUGGUGAAAAGGCUUGAUUUAUUUGAAGAUGGACCAUUAUUGAUUGGAUAGAAUCCAUUAGCACUCGGACCCUCCAAAAGCGUCCUCCCGGAAUGCAUGUCCUUCACAUAAAAGGCAUUGGGUAAGAUUAAUAUAUAACAUGAAUUAUCAGUUAAUAAUUUGUAAGCAGAGAGAAUAUUGGCAGAGGAAUUUGGGCAGUAUAAAACAUCAGAGAGAGUAAUAGGUGAGGUAGGAGAAUUAAGAGAAGUGGUUCCAAUUUUGGAGAUCUGCAAACCUGGACCAGAAACAACACCUCCAACAGUGUCCAUGCCAUUUUAUGGACGAGCAUCAGUGAGGGCAUUGGGAUCAUUGGUAAUAUGAGUAUUUAAACCCGUGUCAAGGAGCGAGCUAGGCCGAGGAGAAGGAUUGGGGUGAUGUAGCAGCGGCAGCCAUGGCAGAGAGGCGAUGAGUUGGGGUCCGACCUUCAUACGCCAUAUUGAGACGAUGAUAGCAAUCUAUUGCUAUGUGACCACCUCGUCCACAAAUUUGACAAGGGCCACGGUCAUGAGAUGCAGGUGCGGGACCAAGGACGGAGCCGCCACGGGAUGGAGGUCGAAAGUUGGAACCUCGGCUGUAGAAACAGGGUCCAGAGGAAGAUCCAUGUGCAGAAUAAUUGCCACGGCCUCUUGGAGAGCUAUUGAAUGAACCACGACCACGGGAGCCGCCGGUAGAGGAGCGGUUUGUGACCAAGGUUGUAGGAGCAGAUUCAAGGGUUAUGUUGUUGUGGUUGCUUAUCAAGAUGAUUAUUGUUGCAAGUUGCAACACAUGUAGACAAGAGCGGGUUUAUUGAAUGAGAAAUUUGUUUGAAUGGUAUACGAACUUUUGCUCCUAUAAACUUUGGUAUAUCAAGUUUUAAAAAUAUCAGAUAGGUAUCUCAUGUUUUCAUCCCGACUUAAUAUUGGUAUAUAUAGCUAUUAAGAUAACAAAUUUACCCUCAGACAAAAAAAAGAUGUGUUCUAGGAUAUUCUCUAUGUGUGCCUUGGCCUUAUGCCAAUAGGAUAUGUAGUUAGACUAGAUCUAUGUAUUCAUAUCCUUACCAUAAUGGUAUUGUGUAAUUCCCUAUAAAGGGCUCCUAUCAAUGAAUAAGAUGAUGACUCUCUUGCUAUCUCUUUGUCUCUACACUUUAUUCUUCAUCACGUUAUCAUGCACUUUGUUCUAACCCUAGAGCCAAUAGCCCACCAUUUUUUUUCCAAACCCUAAAAACCAAAACCCUAAAAUUGGGCAGCCUUGUUUUUCCCGAUUUCUGACCAAAAUUCCGACUGCCCUCCGCCGGAAUUUUAUAUCCCCAGAAAUCUCUUUCCGUCACGGAUCCAACGCUGCCGGCCUCACCCUGAGAACCGGCCGGAAAGUCUCCGAACCGGCCGCCGGAAAAUUCCAGACCACCGCCGCUACCGACCACCGGUUCACCACCUUCCCUUGCUCCGAUCAACCUGAAAUUUUGACAGAAGCUUCCCCAUCCAGAGCUGCUCCUCCUGUCAAAUUUUCAGCCCCAAAUUCGAAGUAUAAGUAGGCGAAACGUUAUUUCUCCUCACGGCAGCCUUUAGAAAGGUAUGUUUUGAAACCUUAAACUCUUCCAAGUUCAAUAACUCAGGGAGGAUAAAAUCAUUUCCUCCUUUCUCCAUCUCCAUUCUAUGCUUGGGAUUUUGUGUGUGCAGGUACCAAAAAUCCCGGAAUUUUAUUCGCGGGUCAAGAGUAUGUUGGAUCACUCUUGUUUCUUUGUCCGGGUUGUGUUUGAUCAACCCCGACCUUUCACCGGAUUGUGUUUGAUCAAUCCGAGGCCUUUUUCAGAAUUGUGUUUGAUCAAUUCGCGGCUUUUUCCGGAUUGUGUAUGAUCAAUCCGAAGGACAAACCAUUUAAAAGCAUCGUUUGUGACCUCUAUCGAGUCUCAUAACAGCUUGGUUUUGUAUGCAAGAGCAAUGUAACAUUCUGCUCCUUUGAGUUUUGACGUACUAGAUGCCUAAGGCGGAUCUUCGCUUGGUAUCUGUGGAACCUUUCAUUGGAAAGGAUUAAACCACAUGUUUUGACCCCCAGGCUAACAAGCCUAGAUGCCGAGAUUUCACAUCUCAUGCGCUCAAAGUUUUGGAAGCGCCACAUCGACAAAAGCCUUCAAUGGCAACCUGUGCAAAAAGUAAUGACCACAAAGUACUGUGGAAUGCACUCAUGGAGCAUUUCUCGAAACGUUCAUAUAACUCUACUUGUUGAGUUAUUAGUCAAGUGGAUUGCUUACCACCUUAAUUGACUACAUAUUGUCGAUGAUCUUUUGUGGCAUCAUGAUCCAUAAUCUUUAGCGGAUUCGAUCAUCAUCAAGUUCUCUAGGUCCUCCAAGUUGGUGUGGAAUUACCAACAAGACUUGAUUUUGAUCAUACAAACGAGAAUUGUAUAUACGCUAAUGUGAUAAACUUAUUUGGGAUUAUCCUCUAAUGUGGGGACAACAGUAUGGGUCAUGGCAACGGCAGAAAACGUCGUGCCGAUGUCUAGAAAAGAGGGGGAGGUGUUGCCGGCUCUAAUAGCGACACUCCCGGUCUAGACACUAUUUUGUCAAAACUACUCACGUCAGCUCAUGACAUUAAUGCAACCGUUGUGGAUCUUCGGAUCACUAGUUCAAGAUUGUCAAGCUCCUUUAAGUUGUGAAUGCAUACAAAAAAGUAUGGAAAAUCAAUAUGAGGACAAGAACGUCAUCCUCAUGAUCGCGAAUAUCAAAGAUUCAGAUCCUGCCCUAGCUACCCAUGACUUUGAUGUCAUCGGCUAGACAUUGAUUUUCGUUCCAAGUUAUAUGUACUAAGGCGUUGUAUCGACGUCCUUUGUCUAUUUCAGACCUUGAUGUACUCACAUUAGCAAUAAUGAAUGCCUUGAGAAUUUUUUCGAAGUGAAACUAUUCUCCUCUUAUGGUUCAUAUUGAUUUACAAUCAAGAUGUACACUUACAUCGUCCUUAGAAACAUGGCAUAUUGUGCCGAUUUUGGUCCCUUCCUUUGAAGGUGACUCUUGGCACUGCAUCCUCAAGGAGGAUCGCCCACGUGUUUCCGGUUAAGUCUUCUACCCUAUAGCGGAUUUUUCAUCAUCAAUUGUUAAACUAGGCUCAUCCAAGCUCAGUGUGAUGUCUUAGAAUUGUCCGAAAUUAAGGAGAUAGUGGUUUUAAGUGUGCAUCGCACUACCGACCCUCCACGGACAUGCCUGGUCAUACUGACUUGGAGUUACCGAAAGCUUUUGAUUUUGGAUCCGCCGACGCUAUUAAACCAAUUGCCGUCUUGCAAAAGACGUUGAAGACUUAUCAAAGCUGGAAAAUUAUCAUCAUGAUCGGAUCCUCUAGGUCCUCUGAGUUAGUUUAUGUUCAUGUCAGGGAGCUUUUGCUAACUAGUUAUGGAGUUUACGACCUUAGAACGACCGAAAGGACUUGGUUUUGAUCAUACACACGUCACUUUUGGCUAAGGCAAAAGCCUACACGCCACCUGCAAGCUUCACAACUUCGCACAUGCCAAAUCUGCGAAAAACAGCAAUCUGUCCCUUCUGGACAGUCAACUUCGUUUGNNNNNNNNNNNNNNNNNNNNAGCUUUAUAUCAUUGGAAAGCUCUAUGAGUCUAGUUUUCAGAACUUUUCACGGUUCAUCCAUAUCUAUUUUAACGAAGAAGUUAUGGCUGUUUUAGUGCGCAAAGGUCAUUCUGCGCGGAAAUUUUUAUGCACUCUCGGGAUUGCAGCUUUUCGUAGCUUCUUUCAAUCCUUCUAAAUGGUUCAAGUAGAACUAUUUACUCGCCUAUCUACUCCUUGUAGUUAUGUCUUAUAGAGACAUUGAGUGCUUCGCAGAUAGUGGAACUAUCCACAACAUUCUAAGGAAUCAUGUUGAGCUUUAAAGACAUUCAUGCUAAUGGUUUUCAUUUGAAAACACAUUGUGAGAAUGAACAAGAAUUCUUUUGUGUAUACCUCCUCAUGAAUGCGAACUGAAGCGCAUCUUGGAGAAAUUCAUGAGUCAAUCUAGUGAACUGUAUGUCACUACGAUUCGAAUAUCGAAUCUCAUGUUGUCGCCAAACAUGAUAUUUGGGACACCGACUCAUAUAGGCUUUGGUUUGACCAAAUUGGUCAACAUGGAAGAGAUAUAAUUGUCCAAAUUUUGAGAAAUUCUCAUGGACAUCCAUUCUUCCGCUCAAAACGAAGACAUUCGAGAUCUAGCAUCACCAUGAAGCAUGGUGGUGACCCGGGGGACAUUGACAUCACCCGAACACGACUCCAACUUCCUGGAGAUCGUCCGGUCAAUUCCUCAAGCAAUUGAGGUGCACCGGCCUUUCCUCGAUGUCGCAUUGCCCCCUUGCAAUGCUCAUUGCUUGUUUUGAAAGCCUAUUCUUUAGCUAAAUAAGGAGUGAGACCGUCCUACGCUAAAUAACACAAAAGUGAACAUUCUAUUCUUACAUAAAAUUAUGUAGAUAGAUACAACCAACUUGCGGACACCUUUUAUGCUUUAUGGUGUUGGUUGAAGUGUUAGCACACUGGUCACGUGUUACACUAUUAUCUACUGCUUAUGCUGCUUAUACUUCUACGGGCUCACUACCCAUUCUUUAAAGAAGUUCAUCGGGAUGUAAGUUGAAGUGUCCUGUACCCCAUGUUCACACGCAAUACGGUCUCACCGAGGCUACGACCAAGCAACUUUAGCUUGUCGCUCGAACAUUAUUGAUACGCACCACUCUUUCUAUUGCGUCUUGGGGCUAUGCAAUAUUUGCAUGCAGCUUUACUAUUCAUCUAUGACCCACCAUCAUUGAAUUUUGUUGUACUACAGCUCGUGACUGUGUACCAGGAUUGACACGAAAUUGCAAUCCUUGAGCUCGGCAGGAUUGAAACGGAUCUCCAAUCCUUGAGCUCGGCUAGAUGUUAUUUCUAGGUGCCAAAUCGCAUUGCCACUGCGUACAAUGAUGGGUCAUUUGAGAUGAAUAAGUUUAGGUUGGAUAUGAACCUCCACCUAUAAUUCGCAUAUGUAGGAACCUUGUCAGGCGAUCUCAUUCACCGCUAAAUUGCGGAUUGUCACUUUGAUGAGACAAUAUUCCCGCCGUUAGGGGGAGAAAAGAACACAAGUGUUUAAGUGGAACGACGUGAAUUGUCGUGGUUUGUCCCCACUAAGUCUCAUCUUGAUCCCAAAUGCUUAUAAUGUUAAAGUGACGAGAUCACAUGCUGCAAAUAUGUCUACAAGGAUUGAUGUCCUACAAAAGGACAUGGCGCGACCAAAAAGUGUUGGUCUUGACGCCAUCACCAUGGAUGGUGAUAUGGUGACGCCAUAUAGUGGCAAAAUUGGUGUCAUAAGGCCGUGUGGCUCCCUAAAAGGAGGGAGGCCCUUAGGUUCGAUAUUGUCUUGCACUAGAAAGAAAGCGAGCUUGGCACAACCUGAUACAUUGAUCAGUGAUACUCAAAUCCGUCUCAUGAAGUCUGAAUUGUGAUUAUCGUUGGGGGACGCCUCAAUGUCAAAUCCAAUCCAUAUAGAGAUCUCUAUAAGUAUUACACUAGUGUACAUGAGGACGUGAGAUAAUGAGUCUACUAUCGAACCACCAUUCGUUGAUGGAUAUCAACUUAGUUGAUUGGCCUAAUGGAAAGAUACGAUCCAGCAUUAACAAAUAGAUAGGUCCUUGGGCAGGUGAUGCCGACACCGCAAGCUAAACCCUAUCAACUAUACCUUUGUUAGAUAGCGUAGUGAGAGUAAGAGCUUAGACUCACCUUAUGGCGCAAGGUCUUUCACUAACACGCACUGGGAUCAACUACGAUGAGAUAUGCUCUCGUAAUGGAUGUCAUUGAACUCCACUACUUUGUCAGUUUGGUAGUUUCCGAAUAACUGAACAUGCAGCCUAUGAAUGUGGUCAUAAUAACAUCUCUAUGGGAUCAGAGAUAUACAUAGAAGNNNNNNNNNNNNNNNNNNNNAAUUGAAGGUCAUGCUGCGCGGAAAUCUGAUUUCCUGCACGAACUUAUGUUUUGAGUUCACAAGCAACCUUCUCCUCAAGAUCUAAGUGUAAAAGAUCAUUUGAGGACAAUACGGCAUGAUUUAGUUAAUCAUUGCCUAAUAUCACAUUUGAAGACAUGUUAAAAAGCAUUGACAUGCUAAGUUGUUGAAACUUCCGUGAUUAGUAAGAAUCAGGAAGAGCCCUAUGAUUGAUGUAAAGAUCAGGGGGAGUGCGAACUUCAGGGGGGAUCUAGCACAUACAUACAUGUCACUAUCAAAUGUGAAGGGUGCGUUGUACUCUUUUUCUCCUACGAUCAAGGUUCAGUUUUUCUCUCACAGGGUUUUUGUGACUUGACGAGGUUUUUGACGAGGCAACAGAUCAGCACCAUCGGCAUAUCAGCGCGCGGCACAAGGGGGAGUGUUCUAGGAUAUUCUCUAUGUGUGCCUUGGCCUUAUGCCAAUAGGAUAUGUAGUUAGACUAGAUCUAUGUAUUCAUAUCCUUACCAUAUUGGUAUUGUGUAAUUCCCUAUAUAAAGGGCUCCUAUCAAUGAAUAAAAUGAUGACUCUCUUACUAUCUCUUUGUCUCUACAUUUUAUUCUUCAUCAAGAUGACAAAUUUACCCUUAAAUUCUCUUCUUUUUUUCUUAGUUUUUUUCUUUGUUUUCAUAUUCGAAUUUUCAUUUUUUAGCUUUUUAUAUUUUUAGGAACGUAGAGAAAAAAUUCAUCGUCACUUUCUCCUUACUAGCUAAUAAUCAGUUUUUCAUCUCAAUCAUCCUUGAAUGUCAACGGCAACAACAAGAUCCUUGAGUGUCAGCAGCAACAACAAUGAUUGAACUUCUGUAUGUUUCCCCUCUUCAAUCUUCUUCAAGUUUAUAAAGGCCAACUGAGAUCAUCAAAUUUCAAAACCUCUUCUAAUAUUUAUGGAUUAUGAAAAACAAAUAAAAAAAACUAAGAAAAAAAGAGAACUUAAGGGUCAAUUGGUCAUCUUAAUGGUUAUAUAUACCAAUCUUAGGUUGAGAUAGAAACAUGAGAUACCGUUUUGAUAUUUUCAAAACUUGAUAUACCAAAGUUCAUAAGAAGCAAAAGUUCGCAUACCAUUUGGACGAAUUGCUCUUAUUGAAUGAAUAAUGAAACCAAUGUUCGAAUUUGACAUUUGGUCAAUUAAGGAACCUCCCCACUGCACUGCCCUUUUCAUAAUAUCAAAUACUAAUAUUUAUAUUAAACUAUUUCUUUUUAUGUAUCUCUAUUUAAGUAGCUAAUUUGGCUUAUAAAACAGUUUUUGGUUGAAUUUUGAAAAACCUAAAUUAUAUUUAUUAAUAUUUUACUAGUUUUAAAUAUUAUAUUUAUUUAUUAAAUGCGAAAAAAGUAAAUUGCAUAAGCCCCGCCUAGUCCCCGCCUAGGCUGUCCAGGCGCUAGGCUAUGGGUCGUCGCCCUCCUACCACCUUUUAGACCAUUGAUUAAGACAUGCUAUUACAGGUUUUAAUUGGAAAUUAGAGGGUGCACCACCACUAAAGCUAGUUAGCUAGUUAUUUGGAACUCUUGUUGAGGCCUAAAGACAGCAAGCACAAGGAAGAGUAAAUGCAAGAUAUCCAAGAUGAGAGCUAGACGUACCUCUGAUGAUGACAAUUUUGGUUAAAAUGUUGAAAAAUACAUUGCAGACAGUGAUGACAGCUAAGGGUUUCUUACAAUGUACUCUAUAUAUAUGAAGCUAAAUAAGAAAUAAAAAUAAUUGAUCUGCUUUUUUUUAAUUUUUUAUAAUUAUCUUGGGUUAUUAUUUCGACUCGAGCAUGUCUUAAUCAGUCUUGACUAAUGAAACAGGCCGGAAGACGAACCUAAAGAAAGAGUCUACUAUUCAUCUGCAACUUGAAUGUGAUAAUUACGGCCUUAUCACGGCAUCGAUCAUUUCAUACUUCUCAAGAUUUGCCUAGGGGGCUCCUUGCCGCCCCUCUCCAAGAUUUUCUUCAUCCUCCAACAGUUGAUUGAGCUCAAUGCAUUAUCUUAGGCGAUCGAGCUGCUUCAAUUUAUUCACAAGUUUUGUUGAAUUUCUGUUAGGACUUUCAAAGUUAAUUACUUCAAUUAAAUAAGGCGAUUGUAUGAUCUCCAUGCAUUCUACUGAUAUAAGAAGAUCUGAAAAAUUAAUUUGGUAAAGUUUGUUCUAAUUAUCUAAUUAAGGGUGAUACCUAACUGGAAGCAAACUAUCAAUUUCGUUUGAACAUGCAGUCAUCAAAGUACGUCUGUCGUACAAUCAGAUCUGUUGAUAAGCAUGCAUGAAAGUGAUUGACCAGGUAUAUUUUCUUCACUUUCAUAUCACGAAACUACCAUUCCUCAUUUUGCUUCUGCGUAUGUGGUUAGAAUAAGGAGUUAAGGACCAUGUCUAAAAGUAAACAUCCCCUACGCAAUUUCAUACACGCAUCGUAUUACAAUAUCCAAAUAGUCAAUAAUCACCAACAACUUCUUGUUCAAUGAUCCACUAUAUAUACGAGUCCCUCCCUCCCUCCAAUGCACCACAAAACAUAUUCCAAGAGAGAUAUAUAUUCAUCAUAGAGUAAAAACCUAGAUUGAAAGAAAAGCAAAGAUGUCUGAUCAAUGCCAAUCCGAAGGUAAUUUUCAUGCAUGAUCUGGUUCCUUAAUUGGUUUCUGCAGUACUUAUAAAGUAAUUGAUCGAUGCGAAUACUAAUUGUUUCUUGUCCAUUUGUAACAAAUAUGUGCAGGUAAGAGUUCAUGGCCUGAACUGUUGGGAGCUCAAGGAACAGAUGCGAAGGCAACGAUUGAGAGCGAAAACUCUUCAGUCACGGCAGUGAUCGUGCAAGAAGGAUCGAUUGUCACUCAAGACAUCCGGUGUGAUAGAGUUCGCGUUUGGGUCGACUCCUAUGGUAUUGUCACCAGGGUUCCUAUCAUCCAGUAAUUGAUCGAUACUAGCAAGUCUGCCCUCUGCUUCAUGCGUAUAUAUUUGGGAAGAAAAUAAAUACUGAAAUAAAUAAGUUUAUUUCCAUGCAAUAUUGAUUGUUAGUCGACAUAGUUUGUACGUUUUCAUUUGGACGUGUGUAGUCUGUUAAUGAUAAAUAAAACACUACUGCAUUUCUCCUCCUUGUUUCUCGAUCCAAAUGUUGUUGAAGGUUUCAACAAUACUUCCCCUACAUACUUCCCCUAAUGAAUUGUAUUUCCAUGCAAUACGUAGUUCGUUUUCCUUUCAGUGUAUUCUCAAUCAAUCUAUAUAAAUAAAGAAACUCUUGCCUUUUCUUCUCUCCUGUAUAUUCU
rnacentral:lncRNA from 1 species